GAUGAACGCUGGCGGUAUGCUUAACACAUGCGAGUCGAACGGACUCUUCGGAGUUAGUGGCGGACGGGUGCGUAACGCGUGAGAAUCUGGCUUUGGGUUCGGGACAACCACUGGAAACGGUGGCUAAUACCGGAUGUGCCGAGAGGUAAAAGAGAAAUUGCCUGAAGAUGAGCUCGCGUCUGAUUAGCUAGUUGGUGAGGUAAAGGCUCACCAAGGCAGCGAUCAGUAGCUGGUCUGAGAGGAUGACCAGCCACACUGGGACUGAGACACGGCCCAGACUCCUACGGGAGGCAGCAGUGGGGAAUUUUCCGCAAUGGGCGAAAGCCUGACGGAGCAAUACCGCGUGAGGGAAGAAGGCUCUUGGGUUGUAAACCUCUUUUCUUAGGGAAGAACAAAAUGACGGUACCUAAGGAAUCAGCAUCGGCUAACUCCGUG
rnacentral:rRNA from 1 species